rnacentral:rRNA from 1 species
GACGGAGGAUGCAAGUGUUAUCCGGAAUCACUGGGCGUAAAGGGCGCGUAGGCGGCCGAUCAAGUCGGGGGUGAAAGCCUGUGGCUCAACCACAGAAUUGCCUUCGAUACUGUUUGGCUUGAGACCGGAAGAGGUUAGUGGAACUGCGAGUGUAGAGGUGAAAUUCGUAGAUAUUCGCAAGAACACCGGUGGCGAAGGCGGCCCACUGGAUCGGCACUGACGCUGAGGUGCGAAAGCGUGGGGAGCAAACAGG